rnacentral:rRNA from 1 species
AAAAGCAGGGGAUCGCAAGACCUUGCGCUCUUGGAGCGGCCGAUGCCUGAUUAGCUAGUUGGUGAGGUAAAGGCUUACCAAGGCGACGAUCAGUAGCUGGUCUGAGAGGACGACCAGCCACACUGGGACUGAGACACGGCCCAGACUCCUACGGGAGGCAGCAGUGGGGAAUUUUGGACAAUGGGGGAAACCCUGAUCCAGCCAUGCCGCGUGAGUGAAGAAGGCCUUCGGGUUGUAAAGCUCUUUCAGCCGGAACGAAACGGUCACGGCUAAUACCUGUGACUACUGACGGUACCGGAAGAAGAAG